rnacentral:rRNA from 1 species
UACGUAGGGUGCAGGCGUUAAUCGGAAUUACUGGGGGUAAAGCGUGCGCAGGCGGUUUGCUAAGACAGGUGUGAAAUCCCCGGGCUUAACCUGGGAACUGCGCUUGUUACUGGCAAGCUGGAGUGUGGCAGAGGGGGGUGGAAUUCCACGUGUAGCAGUGAAAUGCGUAGAGAUGUGGAGGAACACCGAUGGCGAAGGCAGCCCCCUGGGCUAACACUGACGCUCAUGCACGAAAGCGUGGGGAGCAAACAGG